GAACGGACGAUACAACGAAAAUGGAAAUUUUUUAAUAAAAGAUUAAUUAAAUGUAGUCAUAUAUAUAGAAUUAGUAUACGAGGGCAAAUAACAGAUAAUAAAGUGAAAAUAGGUACUCUAACGAAGUAGUAAAUAUAAAGAGUACAACAUAACCUAUAAUUUCAUAAUUCGACUAAGGAUAAACUAUGAAGAACCAAUUAACCAAAAUUGACUCGCAAAUUAAUUAAUAAAUCACGACAUAAUACUAUAUUCAAUCAGGAUAACCUACAAUUCGACAAUUUAAUCAAAUCUCGUAAUAACUUCAUGAAUAAUUCAAAGGAAAGGAAAAAGAAAUGGAACGAUAGGAAUACACACCUUUAUAACAAACAGGAAAUAUCAAGCAAUUUAAUAUACAGCAAAUAUGGACAUACAAAACCACAAUAAACAAAAUAUAUCUUAUAUACAACUAGAUAUAAAAUAUAUAAAACACCUAGGCAUAUUAA